rnacentral:ncRNA from 2 species
CAGGGGCCGCGUGACUGGCGAAACCGUGGAGCCAACCACGAGGAAGCGCGGGUCUCCCCACCAGCCGCUCGCCUGGGCUGCGCCG